rnacentral:miRNA from 1 species
UACGGCUAAGGGAACCUUUACC